ensembl:lncRNA
CCUAAAAAAAAAAACAAAAACAAAAAAAACCUUCAUACUUAACACUUUGUAACACUUUCUCGAACUGUUUAUAUUUACUUUUCUUUACAUGAUAACAUCGUACGCAGAAAAUGAAAUACAUUUCCCCCACCAGGCGGCGUUUUGUCUCCCCAAAUCUUCACCUCACCCCAGAUGUGUACUUUCCAGGGGGUCACGGGAGAGUCCUGUGGAGGGGCCUGGUGUGACCCUGCUGGCUGCACCGGCUCUGAAGGCAGCUGGCGCCCCCGUCAGGCGUUUCCAGCAGGGCAGGGGCCUCGGCCGCCAGUCGGGGAGGGCCAGGCCCGAGGAGCCAGCUUGGCCCUCCCUCCAGCCAAGGGGUGUCGCAGCGGUGGGAAUGCUGCGAGGGGCGACCUCUGCAAAGGCGGGUCAUCUUAGAUCUCUGCGUCCUUCCCGCCUAGAUGGACCAUUGGAUGUGAAAGGAAGAAGCUAUAGUAUCAGAAAAGAUUUAUUAGAAAAUCUCCACCCUGAUCUGGUGGAGCAUGUGAUACAGACCUACCACUGAUUAAAACUGAUUGGAGGAAAAAAAGUGUACGGUUCAGUGCAUUAAGUGUAUUCACACUGUUG